UUUAAGUGUUUCUCUGUCUGACCUGCAGAUGGCAGCAUGUCCUGGGCCUCCUUGUGAUAUCAAGAAGCUGGACAGCUGAGAAAGAAGAAAAUGGACUCCCUCCUUCUGAAGACUUGCUUGAAAGCCAGCCACGACACCCACUUGACUCACAACCCACACCGGUAACUCCAGCUCCAGAGAAUGUGACGCGCACUCCUGCCCUCUCCAGACACCCACACACGUGUGCACACAGACAAGGGCACAUGCACAUGAACAAAAAUAAAUCUUUAAAGAAAAAUUA